rnacentral:lncRNA from 1 species
GCAGAGUCCUGUCCUGACAACCGUGCAUCCACACUGCAACGUUGCCUGGUCCUGCCCAUCUUCUGAUUCUAGGAAGAAUGUGACAGACGGCACACACGGGGUGAGGACAGACCUCAGACGGAGCAGAGCUGACAAAUCACUACUCACUGCGCACGUGAGUCUUAGCGGGCACGUUCCAGUGCUUGGGGAAAAUGUACUGUUAUGAAACACAUCUGGGCCACGGUGAAGUCUGGGGGAGCAGAUAGGCACCUUUUUCCAGCUGGUGAAGUGAGGUUUCUUGGAGGAAGUAGACUUUCUUAGUCACACUUCCUGUUUCAUAC